UGUGCAAGAGAUGCAAUGAUAACAUUGAUGUUUCCCCAGAAGAUUGGAAGUGCUUCUGAAGGGCACAGGAACAGACCAGAGGAGACCUUCUUUUGAAGGAGUGGGUUUGAUUCUGGAACAGCAAAAAUCCUACAGGAUGCAAGAAGGCGAUUGUCCUCUUUGGGUCUCAAAGCAUCGCAUCUCGAGGCAGGCGGAGAUCUUCACUCCCAUCCUCUAUGUCCAAGGAGAUUCUCAUGCUCUGAGAUUGCUCCAAGCAACCACCUCAAAAACUGCAGGAAGCCCACAGGUACCACCAAACAGGAAUACUUUAUAAGCAGCUAACAUGAGGGAGGAGAGCUCAGACCCAGCUGAUGUCCAUUACGUGGGAUAAUGCAGGUCAGAUGGAUUCAUGAAAGUUUGGGUUGGAAGAGACCUCAAAGCCCAUCCCAUCCCACGCCCUGCCAUGGGCAGAGACACCUCGUGCUGGAUCAGGCUGCCCAAGGCCCAUCCAACCUGGCCUUGAACCCCUCCAGGGAUGGGGCAGCCACCACUGCUCUGGGCACCCUGGGCCAGGGCCUCCCCACCCUCACAGAAAAACAUUUCUUCCUAAGAUCUCAUCUCGAUCUCCCCUCUUGCAGCUUAAAACCGCUCCCCUCAUCCUGUCCCUGCCCUCCCUGACCAAGAGCCCCUCCCCAGCUUUCCCGUAGGCGUCUCUUUACUGAUCUCCAGCGAAAUUCAAUUGCACAGGCUUGGAGAAAACCUUCAGAAGUGGGUAUGCAGGACCAAACGCAGGAGCAAGUCCAUCAGACAAUGGAUAUUGCCUAGCCUGGCAUCACCAAGUGCCUGUUCAAACGCUCUUCCUUGUUCAAAGGAAUGCCAUAGAGCUCCCCUC